UAUAUAAUUAAUAAAAAUCAAUGAUUUUAGUGUCAUCAUGUAAAUCUUCCAAAGACCUAUCACAUAUGAUCAAAUCAUAUCAAAACCAUAAAAUUUUGACAUAAUUUUUUCUUAUUUUCUUACUUCUUCGUUGUUAUCUUUUUUUAGCAACAAAAAUAUAAAAAAUAAAAUAUUUACUAAAAGAAUAAUACAUUACCGUACUC
rnacentral:lncRNA from 1 species